UUCUGACCCCCAGGGUCCUCCCUGCCCGCGGUCAUGUGCCACAGAGGCUGUGCGGGGAGGGAGGGAGAUGGGCUUUGAGGGCCAGGGUCCGAUCCCGCGGGAGAGGUGGAGGGGCCCAGCCUGGUGCUUCCUGGGGCCGCCCCACCCUGCCCGCGAGCACAGUCCAGGGUUUCAUGCCCUUCGAACCGCACUUGUGAUCGGUAUUGACAGGCGGCAGGAUAAUCAUUAACCGCUGCCAGGGGCUGGGCCAACGGCUCAAAAGGCGCUGGGCCCGGGGGGCCCCACUUCCUCCUUGUGCCUCAAGGGCCAGCGGGCACCCAGGGUUCAGAGCUCUGCGAGCUUAUCUUAUCCUUGUGCUGGUCCCAGACUCCUUGAGGGCAAAGUCCAGGACUCAUUCAUCCUCCUCGUCUGGGCAGCCCCAACACAGUGCGGCCAUAAAGUUAAAGAAGGGAAAAAAGAAAGGAAACUUGUGCAAGGCAGACCCAGCUCCCUCUGACUGGCUCCUUGAUCACCGUGGACCUGUGCCCUUUUUCCGGCAGGCCCUGGGGUGGGCUUGUGCACGUCUUGCCUCGCCAGGAUCCUGAGGCCGCCUGUUCACCACCAGAGCCAGCUUCGCCCACUCCCCACUCGCUGGUCCCCAGGAUGCUCGUGGCCUCUCUUAGAGCUUCCGCCACAUCCCAUCACCCACACCUGCUCUUCUGCCUCAGCCUGUGAACUCCCCGGGAGCAGCAGGCACUGAUUUCUUGUUUCCUGUGGCCUCGGAGAGUGGCACAGAACAGGUGCCAAAGAAAUGUCCGCUGAAGCAGUGACCACGUUCAUCGAACGAAGGUGCUCAGGGGAGGUGGGGAGCAGAUGCCUGGAGAGGGCGGCACCACGGCUGCAUGUAGGAGGCCUUCAAGAAAUGCCAGCCACCGUCUUCAUCACCAUCACUGCCCAUUUGUGAACAAUGUGGUACUGGUUCCAACCUCAAAGAAAAGGCGAUGGGGAAAGGAGUGGUCAGAGCUGGGUGGCCUAGAUCAGGAAAGGCUCCCUGGGAAAGGUAGAGUGUGGGAGUUCCCACUGUGGUUCAGUGGUAAUGAACCCGACUAACAUCCACGAGGACGUGGGUUUGAUCCUUGGCCUCGCUCAGUGGGUUAAGGAUCCGGUGUCGCGAUGAGCUGUGGUUAGGUCGCUGUCGAGGCUCGGAUCUGGCGUUCCUGUGGCUGUGGGGGGAUAGGCCGACAGUUACAGCUGCACUUCAACCCCUAGCCUGGGAACUUCUAUAUGCCGCACCUGCUGCCCUAAAAAGACAAAAAGAAAAAAGAAAGGUAGAGAUUGAGUUCAGUUUUUGCUGAAGUGAAGCCCAGGGAAAAAAAGGUCAUGAGCUCUGCAGGGGAAGGAGUGGCGUGACAGACAGGGACAGCGGUGCAUCAAAGAGGAGAGGGCUUGGAGUUCCCGUCGUGGCGCAGUGGUGAACGAAUCUGACUAGGAACCAUGAGGUUGCGGGUUCGAUCCCUGGCCUCGCUCAGUGGGUUAAGGAGCCGGCGUUGCCGUGAACUUCGAUGUAGGUCGCAAACACGGCUUUGGAUCCCAUGUUGCUGUGGCUCUGUCGUAGGCCAGCGGCUACAGCUCCGAUUCGACCCCUAGCCUGGGAACCUCCGUAUGCCGCGGGAAGCGGCCCUAGAAAAAAGCAAAAAGACCAAAAAAAAAAA